AUGGCGGCCGCUCGCCGCCCCACGCUUCGACGCGUCGUGGGGCCGUGGACGGCUUCCCGGAGGACGACAUUCUGCCUUGCAUCGCCAACCUUGACGCCCCUCUCAGCAGCCCUUGCAUCUCCACUCCGGCUCCUGCUGCUGUGGGUUUUCAAGUCGCCGUCAUUACCCAGAAGGUCGACUGCCUCCACAUCGACGCUGGGCAAGGGAACACCAGUCAGGUGGGCGGUUCGCCGCAUCUGUUCAGCCCCUCUCCGACGGCCAUCCUCGACGCCCCGCCCGCUCCGCCCGUCCGGCCACGCUCUUCAGCCCCUCCGAAGGUGCGGGCCACUUCUGCUCCUUCUCGCCGGAGCGCGCGUCAGGCCGCGUCUGGCUGCACUGUGA
rnacentral:rRNA from 1 species